AUACGUAGGAUGCGAGCGUUAUCCGGCUUUAUUGGGUUUAAAGGGUGCGUAGGUGGUAGUUUAAGUCAGCGGUGAAAGUUUGUCGCUCAACGAUAAAAUUGCCGUUGAUACUGGUUUCCUUGAGUACGGUACAGGUGGGCGGAAUUCGUGGUGUAGCGGUGAAAUGCUUAGAUAUCACGAAGAACACCGGUGGCGAAGGCAGCUCACCGGGCCGGAACUGACACUGAUGCUCGAAAGUGCGGGUAUCAAACAGGAUUAGAUACCCUGGUAGUCCGCGCAGUAAACGAUGAAUACUCGCUGUUUGCGAUACACGGUAAGCGGCCAAGCGAAAGCGUUAAGUAUUCCACCUGGGGAGUACGCCGGCAACGGUGAAACUCAAAUGAAUUGGCGGGG
rnacentral:rRNA from 1 species